rnacentral:sRNA from 1 species
CUGGAAGCAAUGGAGAGUGAAAUUCUCUCUUUCCAAAACCAGGGACAUAUGGCAGUGACUAUAGAGGGUUCCUUCCACUGGCCUGUCAGUGUGUCACCUGAACUGAAAAGAGUCCCUCCAGAGGGUGAGAGGGGGAACUCAGUCUCCAGGGUCCUUUCAAUCCUUGGCCUUG